UUCCGUUGGGGUAACCUGCGGAGGGAUCAUUACCGAGUUUACAACUCCCAAACCCCUGUGAACAUACCUAUACGUUGCCUCGGCGGAUCAGCCCGCGCCCCGUAAAAAGGGACGGCCCGCCCGAGGACCCCUAAACUCUGUUUUUAGUGGAACUUCUGAGUAAAACAAACAAAUAAAUCAAAACUUUCAACAACGGAUCUCUUGGUUCUGGCAUCGAUGAAGAACGCAGCAAAAUGCGAUAAGUAAUGUGAAUUGCAGAAUUCAGUGAAUCAUCGAAUCUUUGAACGCACAUUGCGCCCGCCAGUAUUCUGGCGGGCAUGCCUGUUCGAGCGUCAUUUCAACCCUCAAGCUCAGCUUGGUGUUGGGACUCGCGGUAACCCGCGUUCCCCAAAUCGAUUGGCGGUCACGUCGAGCUUCCAUAGCGUAGUAAUCAUACACCUCGUUACUGGUAAUCGUCGCGGCCACGCCGUAAAACCCCAACUUCUGAAUGUGACCUCGGAUCAGGUAGAAUUCCCAGUUUCC
rnacentral:rRNA from 1 species